AAACCGUUUGAGGGAGAAUACUCUAUGAUAUGAUUUAGAAUCUCUGGCCAGAGUAUAAAUGAGAUUUAGAAAAGUCGUUCUAAAUCACAUUCAAGGAAAUCAUAUAAGCACACGAAUCACACAUUGGAUAGUAGACAUGAAUAAAUAAACUAUCAAACCAAACAAUGUGGUCAGGAGUAUAUUAGAUUAGAGAAAGACCGUAUUGCAUUUGUAAUCCCAAACUGAAUAGGUUUUCUCUACCUCUUCUGAUUAGCUUGGGUAACCAUGAUAUGCUGCAAUGUGUCACUCAUGGUUUGUGGAAGCCCUAAACGUGUGUAAUCACUAAAGGGAGAAUUG
rnacentral:lncRNA from 1 species